CCACACGAAGCCCUCGGACCGAUAGCUCUCAGUGGGAGUGCUAGCUCGUGCAGUCGGCUUCUGAUGGUGAAUCUAAUUUGAUCUUCUUUUUCGAUCAUCUCGAACCUUUUUGAUAUCGAAGAUAGAUCAGAGGAGGAUGCUGGAUGGUAGAGAAAAAUUAGAUGAAAACUCUCUUCUCUUUGAUUUUUCUCUCACCCAGAAAUCCUAGAAUGAUUCUAGGUCUCUCACCUGAGAGGAGAUAGAUCUUCUCCUUUGCACAUGCCA
rnacentral:lncRNA from 1 species